GAUGAACGCUGGCGGCGUGCCUAAUACAUGCAAGUCGAGCGAACGGACGAGAAGCUUGCUUCUCUGAUGUUAGCGGCGGACGGGUGAGUAACACGUGGAUAACCUACCUAUAAGACUGGGAUAACUUCGGGAAACCGGAGCUAAUACCGGAUAAUAUUUUGAACCGCAUGGUUCAAAAGUGAAAGACGGUCUUGCUGUCACUUAUAGAUGGAUCCGCGCUGCAUUAGCUAGUUGGUAAGGUAACGGCUUACCAAGGCAACGAUGCAUAGCCGACCUGAGAGGGUGAUCGGCCACACUGGAACUGAGACACGGUCCAGACUCCUACGGGAGGCAGCAGUAGGGAAUCUUCCGCAAUGGGCGAAAGCCUGACGGAGCAACGCCGCGUGAGUGAUGGAGGUCUUCGGAUCGUAAAACUCUGUUAUUAGGGAAGAACAUAUGUGUAAGUAACAGUGCACAUCUUGACGGUACCUAAUCAGAAAGCCACGGCUAACUACGUG
rnacentral:rRNA from 1 species